ensembl:lncRNA
GAACGAAGACCUGUGGGAGUGCUGGAGAAAUCAAGUGUACCAAGUCCUCUGUCUCCUCAGCCAUAAAUGCAUGUUAUUGUGCAAGGGGUAGUGGCAUGGACUAUCAGUGGAGCAACAGAAAGCUCUGAGAUUUCAUUCUAAAGAUCUUCAUUUGUGUUCUGAAGAUGAACGAAAGACUUGCGGGUUUGGAACGAUAUGAGGACUACAUCCAAAAUAGUGUUUCCACAUCUGAGAUAAAGGCAGUCAUAAGACCCCAGCGGAACGAUGAGGAUAAGCUCUUCAAAGAAUGAAACAUAAUGAUGGAAGAAAUGUGCAUGAUUGCAUGAUUUGUAAAUAAACAUUAAGCACAUUUAGUGUAACUCUCA